CGGCCUCCCAAAGUGCUGGGAUUACAGGUGUGAGCCACCAUGCCCAGCCUGAAAGGGUUAAUUGAAAAAAUACCUUUGGGAACACUGAAGGGGUCAUCAGUCAUUCACAUCUUAGUAUGAGUUCAUUUGAAUUGGGUGAAUUCAUCUGAUCAUCUAGCAAAGAGCUACCACACUGGGCAACGUGGGAAAGCCCUGGGUAAAAUCAACAUUCAAUAUGGACUACCCUCAGAAUGACACCUGUCAGUGUGGGCAGGUAAAGUGAAGAAGGGCAGGCACCUGGCAAAGGCGGGGAGCAGGAUGAAGGCACCUGGGAAGAGUUAGGUACCAGAGAAGAGGGAUGGAGAGUGACGUCGAGGGGCAACAGAGGCUAACAUUGCUUCACUGACAAUUUUGCCCGGUGGAUGGCCAUAGUUCCAACCUUCUCCACUGCCAAAUCUGUUGACCACAGCUGUGUACACACAGGGGGCUGAUUUGAGUUUCACCUCUUUCUUACUUAUUAGAAAAAAAUGGACAAGUCAAGGGUAAGAGAAGAGCCAGAGCAGAGAAGGAAGUUUUCUGGGAAACUCACAAAACUGGUCCUCCAUCCCUGAGUUUGAUAGGCGUGGGCUUAUAAUCAAGAGCUGAAACUUGAUCAAAAUGUAGAUAAGGCUGGGCGCAGUGGCUCACAUCUAUAAUCCCAGCAUUUUAGGAGGCCGAGGUGGGAGGAUCACUUGAGGCCAGGAGUUCGAGACCAGCCUGGCCAACAUGGCGAAACCCCGUCUCUACUAAAAAUAUAAAAAUUAGCCAGGCGUGGUGGUGCACAUCUGCAAUCCCAGCUACUUGGGAGGCGGAGGCAUGAGAACUGCUUGAACCCAGGAGGCGGAGGUUGCAGUGAGCUGAGAUCACACCACUGCACUCCAGCCUGGGCGACGGAGCCAAACUCUGUUUCAAAAAAAAAAAGUAGAUGAGGGGUUGGACCAGCCCAGGGCUGGUCUCUUUCAUCAUGAAAUGUACAGGGCUCUCAGUAACUCCUGACAGGAAAGACAGCGGUCUACUUUGAUGAAGGGAGGGAAUCUAGUAAAUUAAAGCUAGAGAUUUUUAAAUGAUUCUUCUCUGCUUUUUUCUUUUGGCAUUUCUUUUUCCUUUAGGAACCCAGCUGCUCAGUCACUAACAUUUAUUCACUUUUUCUGUCUCUCAUUAUGAUGCUCCACCUCACUCCUGGUCCAACCUAGAGGUAUCCCCACAGGACUUACACUUUUCUGAGGAUCAGCUUAUGUUUCUCUUGGGCCCUCUCCUAACUCACUUCCCAUUUGUUACAACUUAAAGAGGUGGUCGUCAUAUCCAGUGAGUCAUAUAUUUGAGCUCCAUGCCACUCUUAGGAGACAAAACAUUUCCAUUGUUAAAAAGAUUCAUAAACAAAGAAAGGAAAAACAUUUAAAAUUUUCAGAUUUUCCUUUGGAACCUACAAAGAGCCAAUUUUCAAGCAUUAUUCAUUUAUGGAAGUCUCAAUUUAAGUCAAUAAAUAAAAUUAUGGUGCCGUGUCUAUAAAAUUUACUCAGUAUGACUCCCUAGUGAUUUUUUUAAAACAAAGUCCAUAUAUUCCAAUUAGGAUGAGCAGGAGUUUGGCUUAGAAUAGAAGCCAAAUGGAGCCAGACGAACUGGAAACUCAAGAAACUGGCCCCAUCAAUGGAGUCUCUUUCCCUACAUCCCCUCCCAGGCAUUUUUUUUUUUUCAGUUAUUGCCACUACCUUCUAAACUCUAAUCCCACAUGGCCAAGUGUGGUUCGAGCACUGCCAUGUGAAUGUCUUGCUGUCAUUGCUUCUCCAACUCAGUAUAUCCAAGAACUCAUCCCUCAUCACCCCACAUCAUUUCCACCCUUGAUCAGUUCCUGAACUCAAAAGUAUUGCCAGUAACACCCGCCAAACAUUUAAGUUGAAAACUUCAGUACUGGUUUGCUGUUGCUGCUGUACCAUUAACUUACUGGCUUCAAACACAAAAUUGUUAUCUUAGAGUUCUGCAUGUCAGACGUCCAGUAGGAGUCUCACCAGAUUAAAAUCAAUGCUGAUGAUGCUAGGCCACAUUCUUUUCUGGAAACUCUAGGGGAGAAUCCAUUUCCUGCUUAUUCAGGAUAAGCAGAAUUCAGAUCCUUGUGGUUGUAGGACCAAGGUCCUCAUUUUCUUGCUAGCAAUACAUUGAGGGCCAUUCCUUCAAUUCCCAGAGUCUAGAAGCCCCCCACAUUUCUUGGCUCAUGCCCCAUUCCUCUAUCUUCAAAGUCAGCCAUGAUGGGACAGGGCCAGGUCUUUCUCAGGUGGCAUCACUCUGACUCCUCUUCACUUUUAAGAGCUAUUAGGCCCACCCAAGUAGUCCACGAUAAUCUCAUGGUCUUUCAUUUUAAUCACACCUGCAAAGUUCCCUUUGCUAUGUAAGGUAACAUAUUUACAGGUUCCAGGGAUUUUAGGAUGUGGACAUUUUUGGGGAGCCAUCAGUCUUUCCACCAUACUCAGAAACCCAGUUUCCUAAAUUAUGGAGAAUGAGUUGCAAGGAACCGCCCUUCAAGAGAGAAAAUCCUACAGGGGUCAAGUGAAGAGCCCAGAAACAAAGAGUUACUUUUAACAAUAGAGUCGAGUCUACAAACCAAGAUGCUAACUCUCUGGCCAUUGCUCCUGACUCCUCCCCAUCCCCAACUCCCACCUCCAUAUCCAGUCAUUGCAUCCUGGGCAGUCUUCUCAUUGUAGCAUGGGGCUGUUGCAAGGAUUCUCAAAGAGAGAAUGUACAUGGCAUAACAGGAAUAGCAAAAACUGAUCCACGCUUCCUGUGAUCCAGGCUUACCACAUGAAGGACUUCAAACAUACUUUAUUAUUUAAUCAGCCAACAACUUUGCAAAUGUGAUGAACACUGAGGAUCCUGAGAUGGAUCGAUUAUCCUGGAUUACCUGGGUGGGCCCAAUCUAGUCCAUGAGUUCUUAAAAGUGGAAGAGGCAGGCAGAAGAGUGGGUCAGAGUUAUGCCAUGAGAAGGACUCCUCGACCCUGAAGAGCUCCUCUAGCAAUUCCGAUGUGAAAAGAAGAUGGAUGGAGAAGCACUGAUUCAGCCAUGGCUGACAUGUCGGAGUUGGAAUGGACAGUGCCCGGACCUCACAGUCUCAGAGAACUGGAGAAGAGUAAAGCUGAAGAGGGCAUCAUCUGGUUACAAAUGACAAGUCCAGGGCUCCAGAACUCAGGCCAUGUAGAGAGGCCACAUGGGAACUGAGGUUCCUAGUCCUCAGCUUCCACUGAGCUCCCAGCCAACAGCCAGCAAUAACUUGCCAGAUGUGUGCACAGGCCAUCCUGGAAGCAGAGGAUCCAGCCCUCAGCCAAGAUGCCCCAGUUGAUUCCAUGUGAACUAGGAAUGAGCCCUCCUGCUGAGCUCUGCCCAAAUUACAGAUCUGUGAGCAAACUAAAUGACAGUUGUAUUAAGCUACACAGAAAUAGAUAACUGGAAUACCACCCAUGUCUUUCUUUCCAAACUUAGUUAACUGAGUCUGAGCUAAAGAGAAUUCACACUGUAUAUCUUAUAUUGAAUACCCACUAUAUCUGGGGCAUGAUUGCUAAUAAUCCUCACAAUAGCCCUACAAUAGGAAACGAUCAUCCUCAUUUCACAGAUGGAGAGUUUAAUGGUAAGCCUGAACUCAGACUCAGACUUGUUUGACUUGAGAGCCCAUACCUCUUUCACUAAGCCAUACCAUCUCCAUUCACUCUAUGCUGUCUGGCCACCUGAGAGGCUGUCUGUAAGUCUAUCUCCUUAUUAACCCAUCAUUCCUGCUACUUCCAUGAUAAUCGGCAAGGCUGAAUGAUAGCUCUCAGUUCUAUGGGGUCUUUCCAGGAGAAGGGCCAAAGAGGAGUGGUUGAUCACAAAGUCAUCGGCACAAAAAGAUGGUGGCCAAGCUACAGUCCUGCAUGGCACAUGAGCCAGAUGAUCAAGUAAUGAAAGCUAUGCUAAGAAAUGUGGGCUUUAUCUUGUGGAGAAGGAGAUGCAGUAGAGGCUUUUUAAGGUACAUUUCAGAACAAUUAUUAUUUUUAUAUUUAUUAUAUAUUAUUUAUAUAUAUAAAACCACAAAUUAUAUGCUACAUAUAUACAUAUGUUUUUAUGUCUAUAUAUAAACACAUAUAUACGUUUAUAUAUAUAUACAUAUGUAUAUACAACACAUAAAAUUUACCAUCUUAACCUUUUUUUUUUCCAAGAUGGAGUCUCAUUCUGUUGCCCUGGCUGGAGUGCAGUGACACGAUCUCGGCUCACUGCAACCUACACCUCCCAGGUUCAAACAAUUCUCAUGCCUCAGCCUCCCUAGUAGCUGGGAUUACAGGCGCCCACCACCAUGCUCAGCUCAGCUAAUUUUUGUAUUUUUAGUAGAGACAGGGUUUCACCAUAUUGGCCAGGCUAGUUUCGAACUCCUGACCUCAGGUGAUCCGCUUGCCUCGGCCUCCCAAAGUGCUGGGAUUACAGGCAUGAGCCACUGCACCCGGCCUCAUCUUAACCAUUUUUAAGUGUACAGUUUGGUUGCAUUAAGUAUGUCCACAUGUUUAUGCAACCAUCACCACCUUCUCUUUUUAGAACUUCUGCAUCUUCCCAAACCAAAACCCCAUACCUAUUAAACAAUAACUCCCCAUUCUCCCUUCCCCCUUGCCCCUGUUCCUGACACAGAACAAUAUUUUUUGUAUAACUAUGAAAUAAAUGAAGGAAAUCUGAAGUGGGAAGGCCAGAGAGUAAGCUACAGGGGUACAUUGGGCAAGACACGAUGAGGACUUGAACCCAUGCUUGGGAAGCUGGCAUGAAAAGAGAGGUUCAACAGAUCCUACUAAGGUAAAAGUGAGAGGAUUUUGCGGGGCGGAGGGGGGGUCACUGGGAUGUGGGAGUGAGGAAGAAACAGGAAUCGGCCUGCCAGCAGUUAAUCUAUCGAACUCCCAUAGUCCACGUGACCCUGUCCUGCACCCCUAAAGAAGGCAGUGUGGCAGGUAGGUUAAGAGCCUAGACUCCAAAGACCAGG